rnacentral:SRP_RNA from 1 species
GUUCGGGUCCUGUGCAUCGGCAGCUACCGAACCUCGUCAGGCCCGGAAGGGAGCAGCGAUAAGGUAUGCCUUCCGAGUGCCGCAGAUACACCGGAACCCU